UACGGAGGGUGCGAGCGUUGUCCGGAAUCAUUGGGCGUAAAGGGCGCGUAGGCGGCUUCUCAAGCGUGCGGUGAAAGUCAGGGGCUCAACCCCUGAUCGGCCGUGCGAACUGGGGGGCUGGAGCACUGUAGAGGCAGGCGGAAUUCCGGGUGUAGCGGUGGAAUGCGUAGAGAUCCGGAAGAACACCGGUGGCGAAGGCGGCCUGCUGGGCAGUGGCUGACGCUGAGGCGCGACAGCGUGGGGAGCAAACAGG
rnacentral:rRNA from 1 species